rnacentral:tRNA from 1 species
GCCUUUGGCGCGUUAGUUGGUAGCGCGUCUGCCUUGUAAGCGCUAGGCCGCGGGUUCGAUUCCCGCCCAGGGCG